rnacentral:rRNA from 1 species
GUGGGGAAUUUUGGACAAUGGGCGCAAGCCUGAUCCAGCAAUGCCGCGUGCAGGAAGAAGGCCUUCGGGUUGUAAACUGCUUUUGUACGGAACGAAACGGUCCUGGUUAAUACCUGGGGCUAAUGACGGUACCGUAAGAAUAAGCACCGGCUAACUACGUGCCAGCAGCCGCGGUAAUACGUAGGGUGCGAGCGUUAAUCGGAAUUACUGGGCGUAAAGUGUGCGCAGGCGGUGCUGUAAGACAGGCGUGAAAUCCCCGGGCUCAACCUGGGAAUUGCGCUUGUGACUGCAGUGCUGGAGUACGGCAGAGGGGGAUGGAAUUCCGCGUGUAGCAGUGAAAUGCGUAGAUAUGCGGAGGAACACCGAUGGCGAAGGCAGUCCCCUGGGCCUGUACUGACGCUCAUGCAAGAAAGCGUGGGGAGCAAACAGGAUUAGAUACCCUAGUAGUCC